CAGGCUCCAGGCUCCGAGCCAUCAGCCCAGAGCCUGACGCGGGGCUCGAACUCACGGACCGCGAAAUUGUGACCUGGCUGAAGUCGGACGCUUAACUGACUGCGCCACCCAGGCGCCCCUCAGUGUUCAUUUCUACACGAGUAGAAUGUGUUCCGGUGAGCGGUAAUAUUGUGCUGGUCCAAAUUUGGUGGCACACCAAAUAUGAUAGACCCGUGUGUGACUGCUGCUCUACACCUUCGUGUUUAGUGGUAGCAUACUAUUCCAGCAUAGGUAUGUGCCAUCAUUUGUUAACCAAUUUCCCAUUAUACAAGAUGGAUCUUUGGGUAGUUUCUGCUUUUUGACUGUUGUAAGCAGCGAUGUGAUGCAAGGAAGUUCCUUGUUGCUAAAUCUUUACAUUCACCGGAAGUUACAAUGAAUUGGAUCCCUCCUUUGUUUAGCGCCAGAUAAGUUAGUUUUAUUAUACAGCAAACCACCCCAAGGUGUGUUGGCUUACAACUUGGCUCACAAUUCUUGAAGCCAGCUGGACUGUUCUGACCUGGGUCGCCUCAGCUAAUCUCUGUGGGCCCUUCUGCCUCUGUGGUCGGCUGGGGGGCUGGCUGAGAAUGGCUGAUCUGGGACGGCUCGCUUGCACGCCUGGAAAGUGACAUGCUGCUGCCUGCAGCAACAGAGGCGUCUGGGUCAUUCAUCUCUACAUAAAGGUUUCCCUGCCUUCUUCACUUGGCAGUGGUGGCGGGGGUCCCCAUGGGCAGCAAGGAGGCAAACCCUAGUGUGCAAGCACUUGUCAAGCCUCUGUUUGCAUCCCUUUUGCUAAUAUUCUGUUGGCUAAAGUGAGUCCUAAAGCCAGCCCAGAGUCUACAUUGGAAGGCUUUCCCAAAGGGCGUUAGGAGAGGGAGGGGAAUAACGUGGGUACAUUUUUUGCAGUCUACUAUAGCCAGUAUUUUAAAAUUGAGAUCUCUGGGCCCUGUUGAAAAACAAAGUUUGGUUACCCUGGAUCUCCUCUGUCCCAUUGCACUAAUGGGCAGACCUGUUGCAGAGUGUCACCAUCCUCACCUUCGACAGAAUGCACACUUGUUACCCAGCUCCUCUGCCUGCUGCAUUAUCCGCUCAGCCCCCACAGACAUUUACAUUUAUGGGCGUACAGCCAGGAAGGUUCCUAGGAUUAACUCCUAGAAGAGGAAUUGCCCAGCUUAACGUUGCACGUUUUUAAAAGCUACUUACACUUUCUAAAACUUUUAAAAAGUUAUUUAAAAACUACUUGCGUGAGCAAAGUAUAAUGGGUUGGUUUGAAAUAUUACGCCAGUUAAUUCCCCCAAACAUCAGUGGUCACUGCGGAAGUUCCUGCUGGGGCACGUGCACAUGCACACACACACACACACACACACACACGCAACUGAGGCAGUAGAAUGAGUCUGUCUUCAUCCCUUUCUCUGGAGAAUUCCCCAGAAGUGGUAGUUUUGGAGAGAGACUCCCCUCAUUCAGUUACUCAGCAGACAUGUAUUGAGAAGCUACUAUAAGCCUGUCUCUGUGCUGGGUGGGGAAGCAAAAAGAUGACCAAUAAGUCCACAGUCCGACAGGAACUUACUGUUUGGCCAGUGAGAAGCAUGGAUCUCUAAUCACAGCACGAUUCAAUAAGGUCCAUGCCUGAGUACCAAGUCUCUGGGAAUGCAGAGGGGAAGCAAUUCAUUCUGCCUUGAUUCAGAGGUGAGAGGCAUGGGGAAUACUCUCCAGAGGCUCCCUCUCUUGGACACGUUUCUGUGCCGGAGUCCUCGUAUGUAAAAUAGGUACAGUAACAGUACCCACCUGUGGUCACAGUGAGGAUCCCACAAGAUAAAAGCUUAUAACAGUGUCCGGUAGAGAAAAAAUGUUUCGCUAAAUCAUUGUGCUGAAUUAUUUUAGCUAUCAGGGUUUUUCUAACAUUCUUCACCCUGCUGGGGCCCUGAGAAGUGCGAGGGUCAGAAUCACCUUCUCCUGAUGUGAUUUGCAAUAUGGAAACAAAGUGCAUGGUUUCUCAGUACUUUUAGCAGGACUCUAAAAAUAAGAAACAGGAACUAGUAGGCACACUUCAGAGCAUAUUCAGAAUUGGGGUGGGAUUCUGAUCUAACACUUGACCGUCAUUAAAUGAAUCCCUACAAACAGUGAGCUACUAAUUUGCUUAAGCUACCAGAGAUACAAAGAUAAAUUAGACCUAGUUCCCGCCCUAUAGGAUCUCAGCCUGCUGAGGACACCAGUGUAACAGCUAGCAAUUCUGAUAUUCUUUGGCCAGCACCGAGGAAGGAGCAAUUAAGUUGGCCACAGAGGAGGUGGCACCUCAACUGAGGUUUUGUAAGUUCUGCCCAAGUUGGCAUGUUGGUUCCUUGGGGCAUUAAUGUGUAUGGACACCAGAAUUCCACUUAAUUUAUUUCAUGCCCAAUUUGACAAAUAGCACUUCUUGCCAUGGGUCUACAGGAUACCUCCCUGGUGCUGCCUCAAAGUGAUUUAGAAAUAAAGAGAACCUUAUUUAUAGACUAAGUUGGCCAAUAUUAUCCCAUUCCGUACAUCAAGACAGCAAGACAUUGAGAAACAUGUGGUUUAUUUAUCCACAGGAGAAUGGGAUCAGGCUUCAGAUUUCAGAUAUCAGGCUCAUUUGGGGGUUCUCUGUGCCAUUUCUAGCCCUUAGUUCUUCCUCUGAAAGACCCACAGAUUAAAAUUAGAUGUUGCUGGCAUACAGGGAAUGUUUUUAAUGUAAUAACUGCCUGUUUACUUCUUAGAAUCAUAAACAGGGCUUAGAAGAACAGGGAUGUCCAUCUUGUUGGCAUUUACUGUUUUUGUAGGAAAAAUUAAAGUCUCACAAAGACAUAGUUCAGUGAGCCAACUAAGCCUUGUUUGUUAAAAUUAUGCAAAAUAUAUGGCAAUGGUUCUGAAAGCUAUUAUUAAUUCAAAACAUAGGCCGUGAAAUCCAGGUUUGAGUACUUAGAAAAAACAUAGACCCAAUGUGUUGAUAAUAUUUACAUGUCUCCAUUUCAUAUUCACAUUCUGUCUUUAGCCGGUGCUGAUUGCAGUGUCAAAUGACAUUCUUCAUGGAGCAUAUUCGUGGAAAAUAUCUGGUAUGGUCUGAAUGCUUGUGUUCCUCCUCCCCUAAUUUAUAUGUUGAAAUUCUAACCCCUACAGUUGAGGGUCUUAGGAGGUGGAGCCUUUGGGAGGUGAUGAGGUCACAAGCAUGAAGCCCUCUUGAAGAGACCCCACAGAGCUUCCUGGCUUCUUCUGCUUAGUGAGGAUACAGUGAGAAAGCCCCAGCUCUGAACCAGAAGAGGACCUUCACUAGAACGUGACCAUGCUGGUGGUGCCUUGGUCUUGAACUUCCCAGCUAUCAGAAUUGUGAGCACUUCUAGGAGAUGUAUUGAUUUAAUCAGGACUUUGCUGAUACCACAGUCUUUGGCAUGACUUAUUGGCUCAUUGCUGAUCCCAGGAAGAGACCAAGUGUUCACAAAUGAAGUUUUCAAUAUUUGUGGAAAGAGGGAGUCAACGGAUGCUGGGUCUAAAUGUUCCUACACUCCACAUCCUUGAUGCUGAGCAGUUCCCGGGGGCAGCUGCAGCUGCUGAAGCACAGCGUCCCAGGCUCCGCUGAGGGGACCUGCUGUAGUCAUCAGCAUAGAAAGAACUCUCCAGAACAGGUGACCCAGGAUAUGCUUCCUUUCCCCCUAAUUACAGGUUGCAUAGAGACUAUGUCCUGGUACUUAUUUAAGGCAAUGCUAGAACACAUCCCUUUAGCUAAAUUCCUGCUCCAUCUCAAUGGACUCAGUCUGCCAGAGCACCACAUUCACAUACCCUGAGCAGAGGGUGGGAGGAGAGAAAAGGAGAGGAAGCAGCACUGAUGGAGCAUAUGACCCAGGCACAUGGAAGGUGAUCUCAACUAAGUUUCGUGUCAUUUCAUCCUCUGACAACCUUAGGAGCCAGGAUUUUAGUCUCACUUCUCUUAUUUUACAGGUCAGGAACCUGAUGCUCCAGGAAGUUAACUAACCUGGCCGAGGUCAUUCACUAAGAUAUAUAGCAAUGCCAAAAUCUGAACUCAGGUCUGCCUGAGUUUUUGUUUUGUUUUUGUUGUUGUUGUUGUUGUUGUUGUUGUUGUUGUUGUUGUUGUUGUUUAUAACCUCCUGAGGUAUAGCCAAGGGCCCAGAAUGGCCCCGUCAGCUUUAUAUGAAACAUGUCUCCAGUCCACCUGCUGGAUUUUUGGUGUCAGUGCCUUUCUCCUGUCAUUAUUACAGAAAUUAAGUGAGUGAUGUUCAUAAAAUAGAUGUUCUUUAAUAUCUCCUGCUGCGCCAACCAUAAAGUCAUGUGAUGUGGCACAGCAAAGUGAGGUUGUGGUUAUUGCCCUGUGGGAUUUCAUCAAAAGCCAAGAUAAUCCUGGCUGAGACAGUCUGCAGGCAGGGCACAGCUUGGGUUUGAAUAGAGCAUUUGUCUCAUUGGCUGAAGGAAAAGGACUCUAUUCAUAACCUUCUCCUGAUAGCCUUUGCACGAGAAAGUGUAGGAAAAGCCAGAUUCUCAGCAAGAAGGGGCCUGUUCCCUUUCUCUGAGCAUGAGGAUUCCACAUUCCAUUCCUGGCAACCAUGAUUUAGAUAAAUGGUUUAAAUUUUCUUUUUCCCACAAUUAUGGGGGCAGUACUAAGAAGUUAUCAUCAUAUCUGAGUGUUCUGGGGAGUAAGUAUUCUUACUUGAUCUAGAUAAAGGAAAUCUGAGCUCCUCCUUGACAUCACUAAAGAAUCUCAUUGCUCUCUGUCCUCACCCUAAAGCUUUCCUUCUGUCUCCAAGGAGUAGACGCCAAAACUGUUUCCAAAGUGAAAUGUCAUUAGCCCACUCUACCCUCUGAGGAACAAUCGCCCUGCCCUUUAUAGCUGACUGUGACUGCCAUCCAGCCUUCCAAACAGCUUAUCUUUUUAAAUCACUCACAGGAUUGGGACAUGAUCUGCCAUCUGAAUUUGUUAAUUUCAGCAAAGAUUAUGUGAAGUCAAUAUUGGUCAACCUGAAGUUUGUAACAUGUAACAAUCUGAGGAAUUCCCUUCCUGGUCCCACUGACUGUGACCUAAACAGAUCUCCAAACAUGGUGGCCUCCCUUGCAGUACAGGGCUUGCUCAGGCAGUAAUGGCUCCAGUAUUUAAGAUUCAUAGUGAGUGCUUCAGGCACAAACUCAUGUGUGUGCGUCUUUACUGCUCCAGUCUCCAGGUACAGUUGGCACUUCUGUGAACCUCUUCCUUCCCAUGUCCAGGCUGUUGGCAUCCCACAUCAAGUCACUAAUGGUUUCCUCUUCUUUCCCUAGGCUCUACAUCUCACAUGCAACCUCAGACUUUUCUGUUCUUCCUUGAUUCAUUCAUUCAUUCAUUCAUUCAUUCAACAAAUAAGUUUUUGUAGUACUACAAUGUACCAAGCACUGGUGAGGGAUAUCAUAGUGAACUAAACAAGCAUAUAUCCUGUCCUCAUGGAGCUUACAAUCCAGUGAAGAGUUAUAAGCUACAACAAAUGAUAAGAAGAAAAAGUGCAGUGAGCUAUGAGAGCAUACUGAAAGGAGGCCCACUCUCACUUGGGGGUCAGAAGGUUCCUAUGAGGAUGCUCUGGUCCUCUACUCUCUGCUUCAUUACCUCAGGCUUGGUCCUUGAGCUCUGUCAUCGGUUAGCCUUCCAUUUUGGUGGCUCUGUUGGACCAUUUAUUUUGCUUUUGAGUUUUCCUCUCCAAGAUGUCACCUUUCAGUAAUGCCCCUUUAUUCAAUGAACCACAGUCAAAGAUAACAGGGCGAAAGCUAUCAAGGAUUAUUUUACAAAUGCUAGUCAAUGACUAUGGAAACAGUGAGAAAGAGGUUGGCAUGAGACACAAUAGCUUGUAACCUGAAAAUAUUACUGUAAAUUCUCUGUGCCGGUUCUACAGCACUGGUAAUGAGGUGCCAUUUCUUGUGACCUGGCCCUUCACCACACUCAGACAGCAUAUACUGUCCAGGCCCUAUAUGUAGGACCCCAAUAUUCUAAGACCUCAAUAUUAUUUCAUUUGCCUCUAGUUUGCCUAGAACUUGUUUCAUUUUUCCACUAAUUCAAAAAAAUAUUUAAGCCAAUGUGUCAGAUGCUAGGGCAGUGAGGGGGCUAUGGUGACAAGACAUGAACAGCACCUUGUUCAAGGUAGCUUGUGUCCAUUGUUGCCAAGUUAAAUGAACAUAUCAGGACGUCAGUGGAGAUGCUGCCCAUUGUUGGUGAAGGGGCAACAGUCAUACUCAAGGCAACUCACGUGGUCCAGACUUUACAAAGCCACAGUCCGUGCUGCCAGCUUAGGGGAUUGGCAAGAACUUCCAGAUCUUUCCACUUGCUCUUCAGUCACUGAUUAUGUCAUUUUUACUUCCAUUGAAGUAAUGCAACCCUAUAAAGAGUCAGAUAGUCUUACAUGACUGAUUACAAAGAACAUCCUUUGACCAUCUACUUCCCUCAUUUAAAUUUAGUCCACUAGGGAACCCACUUCAAUUUAUUUAGCUGUUUCAUUUCAGAUCCACUAUAUCUCUUAAUAGCUGCUACCCCUUGAUUUUUUAUGACAAUUAUAUUGAGAUAUAAUUCAUAUACCAUGAAAUUUACCCUUUUAAAUAAUUGUACAAUUCAUUGAUUUUUAAAAAUAUAUUCAUGGAGUUAUGCAACCAUCACCACUAUGUAAUUUUAGAACAUUUUCAAUAUCCUAAAAAAAACAAAACACCAAACACACUAACAGCCACUCUCCAUGUCCUCUGUCCCCAGCCUUGGAAACCACUAAUCUACUUACCAUCUCAUGGAUUUGCUUUUUACGGACAUUUCAUUAAUGGGAUCAUGCCGUAUAUGGCCUUUUGUGUCUGGCUUCUUUCACUUAGAGUAAUGUUUUCAGAGUUCAUCCAUGUUGCAGCAUGUGUCAGUAAUUUAUUCCUUUCUGUAAGCUGAGUGAUGCUCCAUUGAAAGGAUAUACCACUUUUUUGUUUAUCCAUUCAACAGUUGAUGGACACUGGGGUUGUUUCUACUUUCUGGCUAUUAUGAAGGAAGCUGCUACGAACAUCCGUGUACAAGUUUUUGUGUGGAUAUAUGUUGUCAAUUCUCGGGUACAGACCUAGGAGUGGAAUUGCUGAGUCACUGAUUUUUCAAGCUUUGGGCAUUAUUUACUGGCUUCUCACAUGGAGUCACUAUGGAGACAUCUUACCUUCCAUUGCUACCUCUCUUCCACAUACACACUUCCCAUCCUUCAUUCUUCCAAUGUUUAUAUCAUAAUUUUGAUUGGAUCAGAAUUAAUAUGAUAAUAUAAAUAUUGAACUACGACUACUUUUCCUUAAGGAACUUUUGAUUUUACCUGGAGUUAUUUGUCUUAUUUAUUUUCUAUGUAUCUAUCACUAAUUCAUCCUUAUUUCAUCUCCUCUCAAAAUGUUCAUAUGCAUUAGGCAUUCUAUCAGUUUUGUCCUCCCAGGUUUUUCUCAGAGUCUUCUGAUUUGCUCCAAUCUAGACUAGUUGUUCUUUAGACCUGCAGUAUGGUUGUUAUCACGAGAUUUCCCUUCACCAACACGCAGGGGUUUCUUUCACCUCUCUCUUGUGGGUUCCUUUUGUCCUAGAUCCCAUGUCUUUCUCGUAUUUCAUUCCCCUAUUUUUGUGGAAUAGCUCCUCCAGUUGCAUCCUGAGAACACUGCAUUAGUGGGUAUGUUGUUUGAGAACUUACCUAUCUGAAAAGGCUUUACAUUAUUUAAUUAUUUCUUUUUUUAAUAUUAAUUUUUGCUAGUUUCAUUUGACAUAAAAUUCUAUAAAAUUCACUUACUUGCAGAUUUUUUUCUAGUUUCCUUAGUUGCUGUUGAAAAGAUCGAAGCCAUUCUGAUUUUUUUUUUUAAUUUAACCAGUUUUUUACUCUCUCGAAGCUUUUAGGGUUUUCUCUUUGACUCCAAUAUUCUUAAAUAUGAUAUAGUUUGACUAAUAUAUUUUAUUCAUUUUGCUGGACACGUGAUAGGCCCCUUUUAUCUGACAAUAGCCUUCAAUACUAAGAAUUUUUCUUGAAUUAUUUAUUUAGUGAUUUUAUUUCCUCCAUUUUUUAAUUUUUUCCUCUUUCCAUGACUCAUAUUAUUUGGAUAUUGAACUUCCUGAUUUGGUCCUCAGAUGUUCUGAUCUCUUCUGUCCUGUUUUCUGUCAUUUUGUCAUCCUUUGUAAUGUUUUGUCAAAUUUUUCUUCCAACCUUUUAAUUGGAUUUUUAGUUUAUACCAUUUUUUAAA